rnacentral:lncRNA from 1 species
UAUUCUAUUAUUUCUUUCUAUUUCUGUGCCAGCCUGCACCACCUUCUUUCUUUCUUUAUUCUUAGUGUCUCUCCCACUCGGUUUCUCCUGCUUUUGUGCUUCUUCCAAUCAGUUUUAUUUUAUUUUCUUUUCUUUCACACUUCUGCUCGUUUCUGCCUUCUUUGGCUGUGGAUUCUUUUGUUUCUAAUUGAAAAGCCAUGCUUGGUAAACAGAUAUUGGAAAAAUCAAUACCGUGAUGCAUAUAUACAUUCUGCAUAGAUUUAAGGACAGAGAUUUAGUUCAAUUAUAAUCGCAAUGAAUAAACUAAAUUAAUUGAUCUAAAAAAAAUCAUAAUGUUCGAAGUAACUAUUCUGUUUAUUAUUUAAAACUCAUUUUUGCCAUUUUUAUUUUCUUUGCAUAACAAAUCCUAUAAACACAAAAAUAACGUAAAUAGCUCAAAAAUAUAAGGAACUAACUAAGAAAAGACGAGUGAAUUUGAAGUAAAAAUAUAUAUAAAUAUGAUCCGAUCAAAUACCCCCACACUUAACUUUUGCUAGUCCUCGAGCAAAACCAAGAAAACAUGAAAAAGUAAUAACAAGAAAAACAUUAGCUUCCCUCUAUGUGACCCUCAUAGAAUUUCAUUCAAGAAAACAAAUCAUCAAGAACCAUAGCUAGCAUCAAGGAACUAAUCCAAGUUCAUCUUCCUUAUUCAAAUAUUAGCAGUAAUCUUUAAAUCAUCCUUGAAGUGUAGUGUGUGAGAUAGCC